UGCGGGCCAAGGUCACCCCGCGAACCAGGAGCUGUGGCGGCAGGCUCCCAUCCAGCUCUCCCAGAUCCUGCGUCCCUCGCGUCAGGAUGAUGGAGAUGGAUGAGCUGCCAUGUGCAGAGUCGCUGGGAAGCCACCUGGAGCUGCAGGACCUCGCCGGGGCUAGGAGGCUGCAGGAAGGGCAGGAGACUGAAAAAGAAAUGCAGAGAAACACAGAGAGCACGGAGAAACAGCAAGAGGCAGAGCCGGAGCAGUACCUGUGCCUUGCAGAACAUUUAAAAACACAGAAAGCAAAAAGAAGAAAAACAUCACACUCCUUCCUAGUCGCACCUUAAUGCACGUGUCUCCAGAUCUUUCCCUACAUGCGUCUUCUUACCAGAUGUGACCACGUUGUGUAUACAUCCUGCUUCAUGAUCAAUUUCUUCCCGUCAACAAUCUCCGCCUUUGCAUUCAUUUCGGUACAAUUUCAUCCCUUUUAAUAUCCAGACCAGAUACAAAUGUGCCCAAGUGCCCCUCCCCCUAGGUCCCCGAUGGUUGGCUUGUCAGAAUCCGGUACUGGGCCACACUCGGCGUCUGAUCAUGAUGUACAUUAAAUUGCAUUAACCUGCUUAAGCGGCUGCAUUCCCCCAUUUUGGGGGUCCCCUGACCCAUGAAACAUCCCAGUCAGUUUUCCUACACGCUGUCCCCCGUUUCACAUGUGUGCUUGUUUCCUGUGCGGCUGCUCCCAGUGUUUCCCGUGAACAAGAAGCUAGAUCUAAAGGCCGGAAUGAUUCAAGUUCAGUGUCUUUGGCCACCACACACGCGAGGUGAUGUGCACUUCGCCUCGUGCCCCACUGGAAGACACAGCGUUAGGAGCGCUCCGAGGAACAGCACCCAACUUCCCUCUGCAGCCUGCUUCUCGAACAUAGUGUUUUGGGUGACUCAGUGUCCCCAUGAACCAUUCCCCUCAUGCUUCCUAAUCCAAGCCCCAGCGCCUGUCUGAUUACUCCCACUUUUAAAGAUGGGACUUGGAGCGGGGAAGAGCGCCAGGCACGCGCACGCCCUCGGCUGACGAGGGCCCUGACGAGAAAUCUGGCCUUCGUCCUCUUCCCGCCAAACUGAGCUGCGUGCACAGCAGGAGCAGGGUCCACCUCACAGUGUCUGGAAACCGGCAGGCCAGGGGUCACCCCUCUUUCUAGAUGAGACCAACCAGAGGUAGAGGAGGCUCUCGGGGAGGCCCAGCCCGGGUCUGAGAGCUGCUGCCCCUGCAGAUGGUGCUGGCAGAAGAGGCAGCCCGUGCGACCGGCUUCACCGGCGUGAGCAUCUUUGAUCCUCUCAACAACCACAAGUUAUCUGCACUACAUUUUACAGAUGAGGAACAGGAGGCUCAGAAAGGCCCCAUGCCUGCCUAAGGCCACACAGCUAAUGAUCCAGAGAGCCACGACGAGUUCUUCUGACUCCAAAACCCGGGCACUUUACCAGACCCUGCCCUGGCCUCUCACACCAGGCUCCCGCCCAGGUCUGAGCCUGAAGAGGAAAAUUAGAGGCGGGGGGGCUUUGGGCCUCUUCCUUGCCUGAGCUGGUCCUGCCCCCCCCGCCCAGGCCCCUGUGGCUGUAGGUGGAAAUCAGCUGGGUCUCCUCUGCGGCCUCGCCCACUGGGUAGCCCCUGCACCCGUGAAAGUGCCAGGAUGCAGCUGGGUUCCUGCAGCCUCUGCACCCAGUUAUGCCUCCUGAGCUCCGCUCUAGGGCCGUGGGCCCCGGUCAGAGCCCUGCACCUUUGCACGACAACCCGGAUGUCAUGAGACACUUCCUGUUUCUCACAUUGAUGGAGUCAGACCCCACAGUCAUCUUUUGAGGGGGGCAGGAUCGGCGGCUGCGCUGUUCCGGCGUUGAGGUGCGUCGAGGAUGAGUCCAACCCCAGAGCCGCCUCGCUCGCUCCCUCUUCCCCAGUUGCGCGUUUUCAAGGCCUGGGCCCCUGCGCCAGUUCAGGACCAGCCAGGAGGUGGAACUUCACUGCCAUUUGGACCGCAAAGCUCGUCCCUGGGAGGGGCCUGUGGCCUGAGCCGGUCAAAGCCUGGAGCAGGGGCUGUGUGGUCAGCCUCGCGUUCUCCAGCCCUGUCAGGGAGCAAGCCUCUGAAAUGUCACCAGCACUGAGGGCAUCCUGGGAAAUGUCAACAAAUGCUGCUUUGGGUCCCUUGGCAGAGGGCGGAGUCCGCCUCUCUGCUGAGCCGGUUCCGACAGCAGCAGGAGCAGCCACGAGGCACACUUAGGGCUGGGCCAGCCCCAGGCUUUAGGCUUUAGAGCUGGGGGAACGGAGGCCCAGGCUCGCAGAGCCAGCUGCUGAGUUUUUCUUUGGAAACAUCAAGGAUUAGUGAUAAAUCUCCAGCCGCCUCCCCGCUCCCUCUUAUUUCCGAUCUUUGUCAGGCCCUGGAAACUGCACCCCCUGAAGUCCAGACACCAUGAUUUCCAGCAGCCCGAGGAGCGGGUCAGGGCCGCGGGCCGCCCCAACCCCCUGAACUGCCAGCGCGACCAGGCUCUUCCUGCCGCCCCCGGAAGAGAGACUCGAAGGUCCUGCUGAAUGGUGGCGGGGUGUGGGCUGAGGCGGCGACACAGUAGCCUCCGAGGACUCUGGGACGUCACCAUGCUUCCCGGUCCCCGUGCAGCUAGUGCUGGGUGGCUCACCUUCUCUCUGCGGAAGCCCCAUCACCCCGCCGCGACCCCCAACCAGGGAAGGCUGCUUCUUGCCCCAACCCAGGCAGUCCUAGGAGGCUCUGUCCAUCCGUUUUCACCUCUACUGGCUACAAGGGACCCUGCGCCGCUGUCUCAGGGAAUCAUGCUGGGGCCCCAGGACGUCUGGACUCUGUUUUCAGUGGCAGAGCCCGCAUCCCCCCACCAGCCCUCUCCCAGCCACGGGGCACAGUAAGCCUCAGUCCCCUCUGCAUCUGUCUAUUUGCCCUGAGAACUGGAAGCCCAGGGGACAGGGCCUGGCCGUGUCCUGGGGCGGGGCGGGGGCGCCGUGCACAGCAAAUAGUCCCCGAGGAAAUAAAUACUGAGCUCCCAGAUCAGUCCACACUUCCGCCUCGAAACACUUGACCUUGCUCUUCCUCCCAGACUGUACGCUCCCUGCAGGCAGGGACUGUGUCUUUCUGACCCAUUUCUGUAUCUUUAGCGAUAACUCAGUAGCUGGCCCACAGCGGGCACUUAAUAAAUCUUCAUGAAAGGGAAUGUGUAAGUGGGUGGAUGGCUGGAUGCAUAAGUGAGUCAAUGAUCUACGCAGGUGACGUGUAUCCUGUCACUAGGAUGGGGAGCCGAGACGCAGAAUGGAGGGACUCGUGGAAAAGCCUUCCCAGGUGUUAAGUGGUAGAGUCAGGAUUUGCAUGCAGGAAAAUCUGGCCCGGGAGGCUUGGAGCUGCUGACCAGGGGUGGUGAUAGGAGUGGGGCGAGCCGAAUGGAGAAGCCUCAGGGCAGUGACCCAGGCAGCCGAGCCUCUGCCCAGGAGGAAGGACUUUGCUGGAAUGAUCCUGCCUCCAGGUGGAGAAGCAGGGAAGCCUAAUUGGCUUUUCAGCUCUUGGAGCUUGGUCCAUAAAUCACGGCUCCAUUUAAGACACAGGCGCGUCCUCUCUGGAGACCCCGAUGUGACUUGAUACCCAUUCCCAGUGACAUGGAGGGGCUUGCA